CCAGAGCUAUCUCGCAAAGUUGAGCGCUCACGCUUAUCGGCUGUAAAUUAAAGACAGACUCAGGGGUCUGUAGCUCAGUCGGUUAGAGCACCGUCUUGAUAAGGCGGGGGUCGUUGGUUCGAAUCCAACCAGACCCACCAUUGUCUUGUCUGGCGGUAGUACUGAGGAAUCUGUACUCAUGGGGGCAUAGCUCAGCUGGGAGAGCACCUGCUUUGCAAGCAGGGGGUCGUCGGUUCGAUCCCGUCUGCCUCCACCAAUCUUCAAUGGGAAGCGUUUGGAUCACACGAAAGUGACGUGUGAGACGAGCAUUUGCCAUUGGCGAUUGAGCCAGUCAGAGUGAUAUCAAAAGAUAUCGGCUGUCGUUCUUUAACAAUCUGGAAGAAGUAAGUAAUUUGGAUAGCGGAAGCGUCUUGAGAUGGACGUGAAAGUUAUCCGGGUUGUGAUUGUAUCGAUGUAUCUCAAGAUGAUUCGAACUCUAUGUUUGACUCAAUUGGAAUACGGCACAACGCGAAAACUCAACCUGUAACGACUGUCGGAGAGACAGACUCGUUAUAG
rnacentral:misc_RNA from 1 species